rnacentral:lncRNA from 1 species
UGCAAGGCAAGCACCCCCCAAGCAAUAUUGUGAUAUAAGGCUGGUAUACAGUCACAGAGAGCACUGUGAGGGCAUUUACAGCCACCUUCAUUUAGGAUGCUGUUUUUGAGGACCAUGACCCUUCUGUGAACUCCUGCCCUGAACACUGACACUGACAUCUCUUAUCACUGAAGGAGUCCUAGAGAUAAUCAACUAUCAACUCAAUUGUGUAGAUGCCAUCAGAGGCUCAAAGAGCUCAACUGACUUAUCCAAAGUCACACACAAAGUUCAAAUUACACCCCAAGAGAUUUACUGAACAUCUGGACAAUCUCUCAAGAUGGCGACUACUACAUCACCACAGAAAAAUAGCACAAAGCAUCGAGAGUAUCAGGCAGAUACUAAGUGCUAGAGGCUGAGGGCACAAAGGUGCCACAGAUAUGCAGGAGGCUGCCAGUAUCAUUGGGGCUAAACGGGAGGCAUUUCUGCCUUCCUAGCAUGUGUUUCUUUGAUAGCAUCUACUGAGUC